CUUUAAUUUUAGAAUAGCUUGGCAAAUACUUCAAAAGAGUCUGAUGAGUUUGGAUUGAGAUUGCAUUGAAUCUAGAGAUCAAAAUUGGGGUGAAUGGACAUUUUUAACAAUGUUGAGCCACCACUCUGUGAAUAUGAGUAAGAACCCGUCAGUUCUGCUAAAUGGACAUCCCUCGCACAAGCACAGAAAAGAAGUUGAGAACUCUUAAGAGCUGGAAAGCCUGUUGCGACAGCGCCACCCUGCAUGCCUGUCCUUCCUAAGUUGAGUCCCAAUUUCUAUCACUUUGCAUUAGCCUGGGACACGAUACAGACCGCCAGAUGGACGUGAGCAUGUGUGAUUUUGCCCAUUGAUUCUGAGAAUGGCCCACAGCUUGCCCUAGGGGAAGAACUACUUCAUUUCUUAAGGAUUAUAGCGCUUUUUCUGAGGAGUCCCUGUUACUGCAGUCACCCAGCCUGUCUGAGGACAUCUUUGAACGCCUGUCAGCAAGUUGGAUAAUAUUAUCUCCACUUUAAACCAAGAAAAAUUAAAGCCUUGAGAAGGUGAAUGUCUCCCUCAAAUUCAUCCAGCUGGCAAAGGAUGGGUUUGAGAUUUGAGUCCUGGAAUGUCUCAUUCUUUAGUCUAUUAUCUUCUCAGUUCAUUGUGCCACUUUUCACACAACCAAGAUUUCUCUGGUUGGUAAUGGCUGUUGUACAGGUUUCUCCUGUGGAGGCAUUUUAUCCACAUAAGGUGGUAUAGUGGUUUUAAAAUAUGUCUGCAAACUCUUUGAUUUUCCCCCCUCUUCACUUGAGUAUGGGUUGAUAUUAGUGACUCACCUCCAACAAAUAGAACAUGAUGGAAGUAACAGUGUGUGACUUCCAAGACCAGGUUAUAGAAGGAGUUGGGGCUUCCUUGUUGUUCUACCCCUUGGAUCACUUGCUUGGGGAAGCCAGCUACCAUGUCACAAAGACCCUGAAGCGGCCUUCUGGAGAGACUCUGGUGGUGGAGAACUGAGGCCUCCUGCUAGUAACCUGUGAGAAACCGUCAACAGCCCUGUGAGUGAGCGACCUUAAAAGCAGAGUCUCCAUCCCCAGUCAAGCCUUCAGAUGAUGUCAGCUCUAGACAAUAUCUUUCCUGCAACUUCUUUGGAGACCUUGAACCAGAACCACCCAGCUAAGCUGCUCCCAAAUU